GCCCCCGCUUCCUGCCGGGAGGGGCCGCGGCCGGAGCGCAGGUCCCGGAGUCACCAACCAUGUGGAACCCUGGUGCAGGGCAGCCGCCCCCCCCCAACCCCGUGUACCCCCCAAACCCCACGUACUCCCCCCAGGUGCCACCCCCCAACCCCGUGUAUCCACCCCCCGGGGUACCCUCCAACCCUCUGGGGGGGCCAGGGCAGCCCCCGUACCCCCCUGGCCCCCCCCCGUACCCCACAGGCCCUCCCCUGGGCCCCUCGGCCCCCCCCCUGGUUCCACCCCUGCAGCCCCCCCACCCUGGGGUGCCCUCCCUGUACCCCCCCGGGCUGGACAAGAAGGCGGCCAAGAAGAUGAAGAAGAAGAUGAAGAAGGCUCAGAAGAGGCACAAGCG
rnacentral:lncRNA from 1 species